CUACGGGACGCAGCAGUGGGGAAUAUUGCACAAUGGGCGCAAGCCUGAUGCAGCAACGCCGCGUGAGGGAUGAAGGGAGGAGGGUUGUAAACCUCUUUUAGCAGGGAAGAAGCGAAAGUGACGGUACCUGCAGAAAAAGCACCGGCUAACUACGUGCCAGCAGCCGCGGUAAUACGUAGGGUGCAAGCGUUGUCCGGAAUUAUUGGGCGUAAAGAGCUCGUAGGCGGUUUGUCACGUCUGCUGUGAAAAUCCAAGGCUCAACCUUGGACUUGCAGUGGGUACGGGUAGGCUAGAGUGCGGUAGGGGAGAUGGGAAUUCCUGGUGUAGCGGUGGAAUGCGCAGAUAUCAGGAGGAACACCAAUGGCGAAGGCACAUCUCUGGGCCGUAACUGACGCUGAGGAGCGAAAGCGUGGGGAGCGAACAGGAUUAGAUACCCCGGUAGUC
rnacentral:rRNA from 1 species